GGGCCCGUAGCUCAAUGGUAGAGCAAAGAGCUUUUAACUCUGGGGUUGUAAGUUCAAAUCUUACCGAGCCCA
rnacentral:tRNA from 3 species